rnacentral:rRNA from 1 species
GAUGAACGCUGGCGGCGUGCCUAAUACAUGCAAGUCGAGCGAACAGACGAGGAGCUUGCUCCUCUGACGUUAGCGGCGGACGGGUGAGUAACACGUGGAUAACCUACCUAUAAGACUGGGAUAACUUCGGGAAACCGGAGCUAAUACCGGAUAAUAUAUUGAACCGCAUGGUUCAAUAGUGAAAGACGGUUUUGCUGUCACUUAUAGAUGGAUCCGCGCCGCAUUAGCUAGUUGGUAAGGUAACGGCUUACCAAGGCAACGAUGCGUAGCCGACCUGAGAGGGUGAUCGGCCACACUGGAACUGAGACACGGUCCAGACUCCUACGGGAGGCAGCAGUAGGGAAUCUUCCGCAAGGGGCGAAAGCUGGACGGAGCAACGCCGCGUGAGUGAUGAAGGUCGUCGGAUCGUAAAACUCUGUUAUUAGGGAAGAACAAAUGUGUAAGUAACUAUGCACGUCUUGACGGUACCUAAUCAGAAAGCCACGGCUAACUACG